rnacentral:lncRNA from 1 species
UGCAUAGGGAUGCAUUUGAUUUAUGGGUGUUGAUUUUAUUAUAUCCUGCUACUUUGCUGAAUUCAUUUAUUAGUUCUAAAAGUUUUCUGGUAGAAUUUUUUGGAUCCUCUGAAUAUAGAAUCAUGUCAUCAGCAAAUAGUGAUAGUUUUGAGUUCUUCUUUCCCUUUUUGUAUCCCUUUAAUUUCUUUCAUCUAAUUGCACUAGCUAGAGUUUCCAGGACUAUGUUGAAUUAAAGUGGUGAUAGAGGCAUCCCUGUCUUGUUCCAGUUUUUAGAGGGAAUGCUUUCAAUUUUUCUCCAUUUAGAAUGAUGUUGGCCUUUGGGUAUAGUAUAGAUAACUUUUACAAUGUUGAGGUAUAUACCUACUACCUCUAGUUUUUCUAGUAUCUUGAACAUGAAGCAGUACUCUAUUUUGUCAAAUUCUUUUUCUGUAUCUAUUGAGAUGAUCAUAUUAUUCUUGUCUUUAAGCCUAUUGAUGUGAUGAAUUACAUUUAUUGAUUUCUGUAAGUUGAACCAACAUUGCAUACAUGGAACUGAACCCCACUUGAUAGUUGUGCACUAUUUUUUAAAUAUAUUUUUGUAUGCAAUUUGCCAGAAUUUCAUUGAGAAUUUUUACAUCUGUGUUCUUCAGGGAUAUUGGUCUGAAGUUUUCUUUCCUUGAUGUGACUUUGUCUAGUUUUGGUAUCAGGGUGAUGCUAGCCUCAUAGAAUGAGUUUGGAAGGGUUCCCUCCUUUUCCAUAUCAUGGAAUAAUUUUAGGAGUAUUGAUGUUAAUUCUUCUUUGAAGGUCUUGUAGAACUCAGCUGAGAGUCCAUCCUUUUCUUAGUUGGUAGGUUUUUGAUGGCAUCUUCUGUUUUAUUGUUUGAAAUUGUUUAAAUUGUAUAUGUCCUCUUGAUUCAGUCUGGGUAUAUGUUUC